CUUUUAUUAGUUAUCCAAACCGUUCAUUUUUUUCAUAUUUGUUCUAUUUGGACAGGAAUUGUAUGCGAGAAAGAUAAUGGAUUUUUGGAGGUGAAUUUGUUUCAUAUUUGUUCUAUUUGGACAGGAAUUGUAUGCGAGAAAGAUAAUGGAGUUUUGGAGGUGAAUUUGUUUCAUAUUUGUUCUAUUUGGACAGGAAUUGUAUGCGAGAAAGAUAAUGAAGUUUUGGAGGUGAAUUUGUUAAUUUCAGUAACGACUCUGGAGGAUUUGUAUUUUGGAGGUGAAUUUGUUAAUUCCAGUCAAAACGACGAAGAACUCUUGAUAAA
rnacentral:lncRNA from 1 species